CCUACGGGUGGCAGCAGUGAGGAAUAUUGGUCAAUGGACGCAAGUCUGAACCAGCCAUGCCGCGUGCAGGAUGACGGCUCUAUGGGUUGUAAACUUCUUUUGUACGAGGAUAAACCCAGAUACGCGUGUCUUUCUGCAAGUAUCUUACGAAUAAGGAUCGGCUAACUCCGUGCCAGCAGCCGCGGUAAUAUGGAGGAUUCGAGCGUUAUCCGGAUUUAUUGGGUUUAAAGGGUGCGUAGGCGGUCUGAUAAGUUAGAGGUGAAAGCCUGAGGCUCAACUUUGGAAUUGCAAUUGAUACUGUUAGGCUAGAGAGUAGUUGAGGUAGGCGGAAUGUAUGGUGUAGCGGUGAAAUGCUUAGAGAUCAUAAAGAACACCGAUUGCGAAGGCAGCUUACCAAGCUACGACUGACGUUGAGGCACGAAAGCGUGGGGAGCAAACAGGAUUAGAUACCCGUGUAGUC
rnacentral:rRNA from 1 species